rnacentral:rRNA from 1 species
GAUGAACGCUGGCGGCGUGCCUAAUACAUGCAAGUCGAGCGAACAGACGAGGAGCUUGCUCCUCUGACGUUAGCGGCGGACGGGUGAGUAACACGUGGAUAACCUACCUAUAAGACUGGGAUAACUUCGGGAAACCGGAGCUAAUACCGGAUAAUAUAUUGAACCGCAUGGUUCAAUAGUGAAAGACGGUUUUGCUGUCACUUAUAGAUGGAUCCGCGCCGCAUUAGCUAGUUGGUAAGGUAACGGCUUACCAAGGCAACGAUGCGUAGCCGACCUGAGAGGGUGAUCGGCCACACUGGAACUGAGACAAGGUCCAGACACCUACGGGAGGCAGCAGGGGGGAAUCUUCCGCAAUGGGCGGAAGCCUGACGGAGCAAAGCCGCGUGAGUGAUGAAGGUCUUCGGAUCGUAAAACGCUGUUAUGAGGGAAGAACAAAUGUGUAAGUAACUAUGCACGCCUUGACGGUACCUAAUCAGAAAGCCACGGCUAACUACGUG